AUGUAUUUGACAACAGAUGAAUAAAUGGCACAUUGUGAGGAAUUCAGUGUGUUUACAGAAAAAGUUGAAAUAUGUUUUCUGUCUUCUCAUUGCCUCUUACUAGGUUUUGGAGGCCGUGGUGUUCUCCCUGAAGUGGCCACAGGAUCUGGACUUGGGCCUCAGACUGGGGCAGGAGUACUCGGCCAAGGUGGAGCUGGACCAGGAGGAGCAGGAAAUGGCCGUGGACAGCAAUUGCCAGGGGUUUUCCGUGGUUACCCUCUCAUAUCACCAAAAUCAGGGAGUGGCAAAACAAAGAAUCCAGCCAAAGCUGCAGCUAAAUAUGGUGGAGCUGGAGCUGGAGGAGGAACGCUUGGUCAAGGAAGCGCUUUGGGGGGUGGGGCUGGAAGACUCCCUGGAGGAGGGGCAGGAAUCACACCUGGAUUAGGAGGCGGAGUUGGAACAGGAGGUGGACCUGGAGGAGCCAUACCUGGUUUAGGUUAUGGUCCUGGCUCAGCCAAAGCACGUAAAUAUGGUCAGACAGGCCUUGGAGGAGGAGGACCAGGUGGAGGACUGGGGCCUGGCUCAGGCAUUGGGACAGGUGUAGCAGGGGGCGGCUAUGGUUAUGGUCCAGGCAGUGCAGGCACAGGCUCAGCUGGAGGCCUUGGAGGCGGAGGACCAGGAGGAGGAGUUGGCCUCGGCACAGGUGUGGCACCUGGCUCUGGGGUCGGUUUUGGUCCAGGCGGUGCCGGCACUGGGUCAGGUGGCCUUGGUCCUGGUGGUGCUGGUACUGGGUCAGGUGGCCUUGGUCCUGGUGGUGCUGGUGGUGCUGGUACUGGCCCUGGAGGAGCUGGUUACGGGCCUGGUAGAACUGGGUAUGGACCAGGUGGCACUGGAGCUGGAUUGGGAGGAGCCGGAACAGGACCUGGAGGGUAUGACGCGAGUGCCAAAGCUCGUAAAUAUGGCAUGCUAAGUGGAGCACUUGGAGGUUUAGGCACUGGUGGAGUCAGGCCUGGAGGUACUGGCACUGGUUAUGGACCAGGUGGUGCUGGUACAGGCUAUGGACAAGGUGGUGUCGGACCUGGUGGUGCUGGCUAUGGACCCGGCGGUGCUGGAACAGGCUAUGGACAAGGUGGUGUCGGACCUGGAGGUGCUGCUACAGGCUAUGGACAAGGUGGUGUCGGACCUGGUGGUGCUGGUGCAGGUAAUGGACAAGGAGGUGUCAGACCUGGUGGUGCUGGAACAGGCUAUGGACAAGGUGGUGUCGGACCUGGCGGUGCUGGUACCGGUUAUGGACCAGGUGGUGCUAGUACUGGUUAUGGACCAGGUGGUGCUGGAACAGGUUAUGGACAAGGUGGAGUUGGACCUGUUGGUGCUGGAUAUGGACCUGGUGGAGGAGUUGGACCUGGUGGUGCUGGCUAUGGACCUGGAGGUUAUGCUGGUGCCAAAGCUCGUAAAUAUGGUCUGCCUGGAGGAGUUGGAGGAGCCCUGGGUGCAGGAGGACUUGGUGGUGGAGUCGGGCCUGGUUCUGGGCUCGGAGUAGGAGGAGGGGUCCCGGGAAGAGGUGUUGGACUAACAACUGGUGGUGGACCUGGAGCAGGACUGGGGACCGGUGCGAUACCUGGGUCAGGUGUUGGAACGGGUGGUGGACCUGGUGGCUUUGGACUAGGUAGUGCUGGAGGAUAUCCGGGGGGAGCCAAGUCUCUCAAAUACGGGCUUCCUGGUGGUGGUGGAGCCCCAGGAUCUGGUCUGAACGUAAUAUUUGGUGGCCCAGCAGCAGGAGGAGGAUAUGGCCCUGGGACCGGAGGAGCACUCGGAACUGGAAGAGCAGGAUAUGGACCUGGUGGAUAUGGACCUGGCGGAUAUGGGCCUGUGCCUGGUGCUGGUUACGGACCAGGGGGAGGCUAUGGUGCAGUACCAGGAGCUGGAUAUGGAACAGGCUAUGGAGCUGGAUCAAAAGCUGCUAAAUAUGGUCAAGCUGGAACCACUGGUGGGGUACUUGGAGGUGGAGUGGGACGAGAGGGCCAACCUGGUGGUGUUGCACCUGGGGCAGGAGCCGGGACAGGCACUGGAGGAGCAGGGGCAGGAUCAGGGACCGGCACUGGAGGUGCAGGUGCAGGGACCAGCACUGGAGGAGCAGGUGCAGGGACCGGGACAGGUACUGGAGGAGCAGGUGCAGGGACCGGCACUGGUGUUGGUACAGUGAAUGGAACCAGCACUGGCAGGGGUGCAGUGACGACAGCUGGACCCACUGGAGGUGCAGGUGUAGCCGGCAGACCAGUGGGAGCAGGUGCUGAUGGAGACGGCCUGAGUGGAACAGGGAUCCCCAUCAUUGCAGCAAAACCAGGAGUCAAUGGGACCGAAGUUCCAGGUUCUAGUGAAGAUGUCUCAGGUGGUUCACUGCCUGGAGCUAAACCUCUCAAACCCCCAGGUGUCCCCAGAGGUGACACACCCGGUGAAGGAGAUGGAGAGGAAGGCCCCGAUGGAGAGGAGACAGUCCUGCAACUGGAACUGGAGUUGGAGCACAGAGUGCAACUGGUGGAGUAG
ensembl:lncRNA